AAUGGGGGAUAACGUAGCGAAAGUUACGCUAAUACCGCAUAUGCCCUGAGGGGGAAAGGUGGGGAUCGCAAGACCUAUCGUUUUCGGAGUGGCCGAUAUCAGAUUAGCUAGUUGGUGGGGUAAAGGCCUACCAAGGCGACGAUCUGUAGCUGGUCUGAGAGGACGACCAGCCACACUGGGACUGAGACACGGCCCAGACUCCUACGGGAGGCAGCAGUGGGGAAUUUUGGACAAUGGGGGCAACCCUGAUCCAGCCAUGCCGCGUGAGUGAAGAAGGCCUUCGGGUUGUAAAGCUCUUUCGGACGGAAAGAAAUCCUAUCCGCUAAUACCGGGUGGGGAUGACGGUACCGUAAGAAGAAGCACCGGCUAACUACGUGCCAGCAGCCGCGGUAAUACGUAGGGUGCGAGCGUUAAUCGGAAUUACUGGGCGUAAAGCGUGCGCAGGCGGUUUUGUAAGACAGACGUGAAAUCCCCGGGCUUAACCUGGGAACUGCGUUUGUGACUGCAAGGCUAGAGUACGGCAGAGGGGGGUAGAAUUCCA
rnacentral:rRNA from 1 species